UUAAACCACACCCUUGAAUGCCCCCACAUGUGCCACCAACUACAACUGACCACUAGCCAACAGGUACUUCAGAUCUUCUACUAAAUGCAACUGAGUUGUGUGGGCAGGGGUGUGUGAAAAGCAUCUUUAGGAUUACAGGUGCAUUCAAAUGCAACUGAUAUGCUGUACAAAUCAAAAACUCCUUUUAAAGUUCACAUCAUUAUGAAUUUUCUGCUUGCAGACUUGGGGGUUCCCAUAUAUACAAUUGUCCCCAAAACAUGAAGUCAUGGGGGAGUUGAUCACUGCCCACGAUCUACAAUGAUGGAAGUCCAAUGAAAACAGAAACUCAUGAAAUGUAAGCCUUAACAAGCUCGGUGUAGUUGCAGGUGAGGCCUGUCCUAGGACAUGUGAUUCUGCCGUCAUUCUUCUUCGACAUUUCUUCGAGUGCCUUGGUGCUAUAGACAUAGCCAUUAGGUAAUACAAGGGGUGGGUUUUCAGUAUCCAUCAGUUCUUUUGUUAUGUAGCAAACAAGCUUUGAGUGAUGCUGUUUUGAAUAUGGUAGCGGCGUUGCUAAUUUGCGGAAGCUCUCCUGUGACAAUGGAUCCUCCUUUGUGCAAUCAUCUUCGUAACAGAAUGGAGUUUUAAGUGCAGACAGCCCUGCUUGCAGAUAUAUAUUCAGCGAAGGCUCCAGAGUCAUGCCAUAUAACUUGCAAAACUCUUGUUUGAAUUGAUCAAUCAGGUAAUCCCACUGUUUCGAAUCAAAUAAAACCUUGUAAGUUGUACAUUCAGUAUUACUCUUGAAAGCAAGUGUCGCCAAGACCCGCUGCAACUCUUUCAUGUGGGUAGAACCCCAAGGUGAAAGAUAUUUCCGAGCAUAUGUAAUGGCCCGCAUCAUGUUUUCAGAU
rnacentral:misc_RNA from 1 species